AAAUUGAAGAGUUUGAUCAUGGCUCAGAUUGAACGCUGGCGGCAGGCCUAACACAUGCAAGUCGAACGGUAACAGGAAGCAGCUUGCUGUUUCGCUGACGAGUGGCGGACGGGUGAGUAAUGUCUGGGAAACUGCCUGAUGGAGGGGGAUAACUACUGGAAACGGUGGCUAAUACCGCAUAACGUCGCAAGACCAAAGAGGGGGACCUUCGGGCCUCUUGCCAUCAGA
rnacentral:rRNA from 1 species